AGCGGCAGUGGUGGUGGCUGGGGUCGGGCGAGCGCGUUGUCUAACUCUAUGAGGAACUGAUUUUCUUUUUCUCUUUUUCUUUUUUGAAAAAAAAGAAGGAUAAUGUUUGUUAUAAAUAUAUUGACGACAUUGGUGAUGCUUGUAUUCUUCCCUUUUUCAUUCUUUGCUACUUCUAUAUAUUGCAGUUUUUCUUUUUUUUUUUGAAUCUCUUUUUUAUAACUGGUAUGAUAUCAUGAAAUUUUAGCUUGGAUNAAAAAAGAAGAAAACCUUCCCUUUUUCAUUCUUUGCUACUUCUAUAUAUUGCAGUUUUUCUUUUUUUUUUUGAAUCUCUUUUUUAUAACUGGUAUGAUAUCAUGAAAUUUUAGCUUGGAUGGUGCAGUGGAAGGUUUUCUUCUUUUUUUUUUUUUGCAUGUUUAUUUUACUUGAGCCAAGCAAUUAUUGUUUUGUCAUGUUAUUUGCAGCAGCAUUAGCUUUGGAAGAGAAAAUGAAUUACUAUUUAAAUAAAAGAAGAAAUCUACAUAGUGUCUGUACUAUUCACAUAUCGCGACUUAGCUCUUUUCUCUUUUAUUUAAAAUAUAUUUUAGUCUCCGAGUCGUUGAAUUUGAUAGAAAGAUACAAAAAACAGCUUUUGGGUUCUCAAUCGAAGAUAUAAAGUUUGUGGAUUAUUUUGAACUGGGUCAUGAUUGAGUUUGUCUCCCACACGUAUUUACUUAAAACAGCAAUUAAGGUUUUUAAAUUAUGCUUUGAAUAAGGUC
rnacentral:lncRNA from 1 species